rnacentral:tRNA from 1 species
GGGGUUGUAGCUCAGUGGCAGAGCACUUGCCUAGCAUUCAUGAAGUCCUGGGUUCAAUCCCCCAGCACUG